rnacentral:rRNA from 1 species
GAUGAACGCUAGCGGCAGGCCUAACACAUGCAAGUCGAGGGGUAGAACACUUCGGUGUUUGAGACCGGCGCACGGGUGCGUAACGCGUAUGCAAUCUACCUUAUACAGGGGAAUAGCCCAGAGAAAUUUGGAUUAAUGCCCCAUAGCAUUACGACUUGGCAUCAAGAUGUAAUUAAAGUUCCAACGGUAUAAGAUGAGCAUGCGUCCCAUUAGUUAGUUGGUAAGGUAACGGCUUACCAAGACGAUGAUGGGUAGGGGUCCUGAGAGGGAGAGCCCCCACACUGGUACGUGGACACGGACCAGACUCCUACGGGAGGCAGCAGUGAGGAAUAUUGGUCAAUGGUCGCAAGACUGAACCAGCCAUGCCGCGUGCAGGAAGACGGUCCUAUGGAUUGUAAACUGCUUUUAUACAGGAAGAAACCCUCCCACGUGUGGGAGCUUGACGGUACUGUAGGAAUAAGGAUCGGCUAACUCCGUGCCAGCAGCCGCCGUAA